rnacentral:rRNA from 1 species
CGGGUGAGUAACACGUGGGUAAUCUGCCUGUAAGACGGGGAUAACUCCGGGAAACCGGGGCUAAUACCGGAUAAUAAAAAGAAACGCAUGUUUCUUUUUUGAAAGUCGGUUUCGGCUGACACUUACAGAUGAGCCCGCGGCGCAUUAGCUAGUUGGUGAGGUAACGGCUCACCAAGGCGACGAUGCGUAGCCGACCUGAGAGGGUGAUCGGCCACACUGGGACUGAGACACGGCCCAGACUCCUACGGGAGGCAGCAGUAGGGAAUCUUCGGCAAUGGGCGAAAGCCUGACCGAGCAACGCCGCGUGAGCGAUGAAGGCCUUCGGGUCGUAAAGCUCUGUUGUUAGAGAAGAACAAGUACGAGAGUAACUGCUCGUACCUUGACGGUACCUAACCAGAAAGCCACGGCUAACUACGUGCCAGCAGCCGCGGUAAUACGUAGGUGGCAAGCGUUAUCCGGAAUUAUUGGGCGUAAAGCGCGCGCAGGCGGUCUCUUAAGUCUGAUGUGAAAGCCCACGGCUCAACCGUGGAGGGUCAUUGGAAACUGGGAGACUUGAGUGCAGGAGAGAGAAGUGGAA